rnacentral:tRNA from 1 species
GCCGACCUAGCUCAAUGGUAGAGCACCUGUUUUGUAAACAGGUGGUUAUCGGUUCGAGCCCGAUGGUCGGCU